UACGUAGGGACCAAGCGUUGUUCGGAUUUACUGGGCGUAAAGGGCGCGUAGGCGGCGUGGUAAGUCACUUGUGAAAUCUCUGAGCUUAACUCAGAACGGUCAAGUGAUACUGCUGUGCUAGAGUGCGGUAGGGGCAAUCGGAAUUCUUGGUGUAGCGGUGAAAUGCGUAGAUAUCAAGAGGAACACCUGAGGUGAAGACGGGUUGCUGGGCCGACACUGACGCUGAUGCGCGAAAGCCAGGGGAGCAAACGGG
rnacentral:rRNA from 1 species